AGGAAUCGGCUCGUCUUCGAGAAUAUCCACAUCUCUGCAGGGUCUACGAUUUCCUCCGCUCUCGCUUCGGCUUGUGAAUGGCAAAUGGCUCAACAAGGGUGUCUUUCCCUGUGUAGAAUCUCAGCCUUCCUAACUGGAACUAUCACUCCUCCACCACCAUCACUGCUUGGUCAAGAGAAUCAUGCAUAGCUGGCCUAGGAUGGAUUUAUCUAUGACUAUAUUCA
rnacentral:lncRNA from 1 species